CGCGUAGGUGGUAGUGUAAGUCUGGGGUGGAAUGCCGGGGCUUAACCCUGGAAUUGCCUUGGAAACUGCAUUACUUGAGUCAGUGAGGGGAGGGUAGAAUUCCUGGUGUAGCGGUGAAAUGCGUAGAUAUCAGGAGGAAGGCCUGUGGCGAAGGCGGCCCUCUGGUGCUGGACUGACACUGAGGCGCGAAAGCGUGGGGAGCAAACAGGAUUAGAUACCCUAGGUAGUCCACGCCCUAAACGGUGGGCACUAGGUGUAGGGCUCGUAAGGGUUCUGUGCCGAAGGGAAACCAUUAAGUGCCCCGCCUGGGGAGUACGGCCGCAAGGUUGAA
rnacentral:rRNA from 1 species